rnacentral:rRNA from 1 species
CCUACGGGCGACAGCAGUGAGGAAUAUUGGUCAAUGGCCGGAAGGCUGAACCAGCCAAGUCGCGUGAGGGACGACUGCCCUAUGGGUUGUAAACCUCUUUUAUAAGGGAAGAAUAAAUGCUACGUGUAGCAUGAUGCGUGUACCUUAUGAAUAAGCAUCGGCUAACUCCGUGCCAGCAGCCGCGGUAAUACGGAGGAUGCGAGCGUUAACCGGAUUUACUGGGUUUAAAGCGCUCGUAGGCGGUAUGUUAAGUCAGUGGUGAAAUCCCCGGGCUCAACGUUGGAACUGCCUUUGAAACUGGCGACCUGGAGUGUGUGAGAGGGUAGUGGAAUUCCUGGUGUAGGGGUGAAAUGCGUAGAUAUCUGGAAGAACAUCAGUGGCGAAGGCGGCUUUCUGGCACAUCACUGACGCUGAGGAGCGAAAGCGUGGGUAGCAAACAGGAUUAGAUACCCGGGUAGUC